rnacentral:rRNA from 1 species
CUUUCCCUCUGGCGGCAGGCCUAACACAUGCAAGUCGAGCGGAUGAAGGGAGCUUGCUCCUGGAUUCAGCGGCGGACGGGUGAGUAAUGCCUAGGAAUCUGCCUCGUAGUGGGGGAUAACGUCCGGAAACGGGCGUUAAUACCGCAUACGUCCUGAGGGAGAAAGUGGGGGAUCUUCGGACCUCACGCUCUCAGAUGAGUCUAGGUCGGAUUAGCUAGUUGGUGGGGUAAAGGCCUACCAAGGCGACGAUCCGUAACUGGUCGGAGAGGAUGAUAAGUCACACUGGAACUGAACCACGGUCAAGGCUCCUACGAGAGGCAGCAGUGGGGAAUAUUGGACAGUGGGCGAAAGCCUGAUCCAGCCAUGCCGAGUGUGUGAAGAAGGUCUUGGGAUUGUAAAGAACUUUAAGUUGGGAGGAAGGGCAGUAAGUUAAUACCUUGCUGUUUUGACGGUACCAACAGAAUAAGCACCGGCUAACUUCGUG